rnacentral:rRNA from 1 species
AGUUGUAUCCUGGCUCAGANCGAACGCUGGCGGCGUGGAUUAGGCAUGCAAGUCGAACGAAGAUCUUAGCAUUUUCGAGAUCUUAGUGGCGAAAGGGUGAGGAACACGUGGGUAACCUACCCUAAGGUUUGGGAUAACCAGUCGAAAGGCUGGCUAAUACCGGAUACGUCCUUAUUACCUUGGUAAUAAGGGGAAAGAUGGGGAUCUCUUCGGAGACCUAUCACCUUUGGAUGGGCUCGCGUCCUAUCAGCUUGUUGGUAAGGUAACGGCUUACCAAGGCUAAGACGGGUAGCUGGUCUGAGAGGAUGGUCAGCCACACUGGGACUGAGACACUGCCCAGACACCUACGGGUGGCUGCAGUCGAGAAUCUUCCGCAAUGGGGGCAACCCUGACGGAGCGACGCCGCGUGCAGGAUGACGGCCUUAGGGUUGUAAACUGCUGUCAGCUGGGAAGAACCGGCACUAGAUUAAUAAUCUUGUGCUCUGACGGUACCAGCAGAGGAAGCCACGGCUAACUUCGUGCCAGCAGCCGCGGUAAUACGAAGGUGGCAAGCGUUGUUCGGAUUUAUUGGGCGUAAAGGGUUCGUAGGCGGCUUUGUAAGUCAAGUGUGAAAUCCCACAUGUCAACUGUGGAACUGCACUCGAAACUGCAGAGCUCGAGUAUGAGAGGGGUAAUGGGAAUUCCAGGUGUAAGGGUGAAAUCUGCAGAGAUCUGGAGGAACAUCAGUCGCGAAGGCGCAUUACUGGCUCAUUACUGACGCUNAGGGACGAAAGCUAGGGUAGCAAACGGGAUUAGAUACCCCGGUAGUCCUAGCUGUAAACGAUGUUCACUAGGUGCUGGGAGGGUUAAACCUUUCGGUGCCGCANCUUACGCAUUA